rnacentral:rRNA from 1 species
AAUAGAUACCCGGGUAGUCCACGCCGUAAACGAUGAGUGCUAAGUGUUGGGGGGUUUCCGCCCCUCAGUGGCUGCAGCUAACGCAUUAAGCACCUCCGCCGUGGGGGAGUACGGUCGCAAGACUGAAACUCAAAGGAAUUGGACGGGGGCCCGCACAAGCGGUGGAGCAUGUGGUUUAAUUCGAAGCAACGCGAAGAACCUUACCAGGUCUUGACAUCCCGGUGACCACUAUGGAGACAUAGUUUCCCCGUUCGGGGGCAACGGUGACAGGUGGUGCAUGGUUGUCGUCAGCUCGUGUCGUGAGAUGUUGGGUUAAGUCCCGCAACGAGCGCAACCCUUAUUCUUAGUUGCCAUCAUUCAGUUGGGCACUCUAAGGAGACUGCCGGUGAUAAACCGGAGGAAGGUGGGGAUGACGUCAAAUCAUCAUGCCCCUUAUGACCUGGGCUACACACGUGCUACAAUGGACGGUACAAACGGUUGCCAACCCGCGAGGGGGAGCUAAUCCGAUAAAACCGUUCUCAGUUCGGAUUGUAGGCUGCAACUCGCCUACAUGGAAC